UUUUUAUUUUUAUAUAAUAUCUAAAAAGACAAAACUUUAUUGCUUCUAAGACAAUCCUUAUUUUAUAUUGCAUUCUCUAUUGUUCUCCCUUUUUAUCACAUUUAAUUUUAUCUGUCGAUUGUGAUACUUUUUCCUCCAUAGCAUGUGUAUUUUUACAGUCAGGCUUUUAUCCCUGCAGUGGGCAUUCAUUGCAUAGCAAAUGUCCACUCAAUGAAUCUGAAGUUGCAUAGUCUGUCAGGGGUCCUCAAACUAUGGCCCCUGGGCUGAUUUCUACCUGCCAGGGUCCUGUACCCAGGCCAAGCCCUCAGGGCCACCUGAUGGGCCCUGUAUGUGCAAUAGCGCGACCGCGCGGGAAGUGGGAAAGACAGACAGGCUGCGAGGAGGGAAGAGCCACGCCGACUCCCAUCAGCCGCAGCCAUCCUCCUGCAAAAAAAGUAAGAAAAAUUAGCUGUCAGUAUGUGUCUGUCUGUCUGUGUGUAUGUGUGUCUGUCUAUGUGUGUGUAUUUAUGUCCUUAUGUGUGUGUGUGCAGUGUGCACAGGAGUUCGUUCAUAUUUUUUAUAGUCUUGUCCCAAACAGUGUUUGGGGGACCGUGAACUGGCCCCCUGUUUAAAAACUGCUGAGUUUGUACUAGAAGGGCAUUUUGUAACAUUUGUAAAUAUCUGGCUUAGUUUAAACAAUUAGAACUGUAAAAUAUCUGAACUAGCUUCUUAAAAUUUUAUUGCAUCCCCCUCCUAGUCUAUGGGCUAAUGUUUUGUGUGUUUGGAGCAAAAGGAUGACUGCUUUCAUUGUUUUUCUUUACCUGGUCUGUCAGUGAGUGAACUCUGUUGCUAUACCUGGAACAUUUAAAUAUUGGAUACAAACCUGUAUAUUUGUAAUUUUCCCAUUGCCCUUCUAUGGCGUGCAGUAAUCUGCAUUGAACUCCCCCCUUUUUAUAACAUUGUUUUCUGGAUAGGAAUGAUUAGCUUUACUUGUGAGCCAACAGUCUUGCUGUAGUUUUCAAGAUAGUUAUGAACUGAAAUGUUGCUUGCGUAUAUACAUUUUUUUUAAUUUACAAAAAACACACAUUCUUUAUAGCUAUUGCUCAAAAUUAGCAACUACUGUAGUACAAGACAUUGUGACCUUAUUUUUCUUUUAACAAUGUGGCUCCAUUGCCAAAAGAAAUAAAUGGGAAAGUUAAAAUACGCCAAACCUAUAUGUCUAUGGUGUCCUGUAUUCUAGCGGGUCAUUAGCGCCAGUAGGAAGUAGCGGUCAAUGCGGCGUCUAGGUAUAUGUCUAUGAUGUCAAUUGCAAACAUUAGGAUCUCCUGUGUGGGCCAAUGGAAAAGGCUGAUUUAUUAUAAUUUUUUAUGCACGUGGCCAAUAAAUCCAAUUAUAAACACUAAUUUUCCCAGCAAAUAUUGUAUAUGGC